rnacentral:rRNA from 1 species
UGCAAGUCGAGCGCACCUUCGGGUGAGCGGCGGACGGGUUAGUAACGCGUGGGAACAUACCCUUCUCUAAGGAAUAGCCACUGGAAACGGUGAGUAAUACCUUAUACGCCCUUCGGGGGAAAGAUUUAUCGGAGAUGGAUUGGCCCGCGUUAGAUUAGAUAGUUGGUGGGGUAACGGCCUACCAAGUCUACGAUCUAUAGCUGGUUUUAGAGGACGAUCAGCAACACUGGGACUGAGACACGGCCCAG